ACACUGAAUGAAACCUGCCCUACUGCCUUUAGCCAGCGCGGAGUACUGCUUCGCUCUGACAUCUGUCUGCUCUCACGAAUGUGUGCGCCACCCUGCCCUGCCCUAAGAUGCCCUCAACCUCCUACCUGCCUGCCUGACCUCUUUGGGCUCUGGAACACACAUCUGAGGAGCCUCUUACUUCAGGAAAAUGCAAUGACUGGUCGAGAUCCAAUUUGAACUUUCAACUUCCUGGAAAGCUGAGCAAAGUAAAGAAGAGGAAAUGGAGCAGAGGAGCAUCGUGCUGUUUUCUGGAAGGCUGGUGGCGUACAGUGGGAUUUUAGAGCAGCUACUUGGAAGAGAGAGGGAUGUAUGGUAAGACCUGAGGAUCCAGGGCAGAGAGCUGCAAAUGAGGUAUAUAUUGAUAUUUUUCAGCAAGCUGGAAAUUUAGGACUCAAGAAGAUGUGAACAGCGGUGUAUUUUCUGUUGCAUUAACACUAGACAUAUUUUUCAUUUAUGCUCAAUUUAGAACUGAAGGAAAAAAAAAACUGAAGCCAAAACAAACUUCAAAAGCAGUAGAGGACAGGCAUGCCUGCAUAUGAAUUGCCAAAACCAGUGCAAGUAUUGGUGUAACAAAAUGUUCCUUUACUUCAAAAGAAUUUGCAUGGGAAACAGGUCAGAAGGCCACGCAGAGGGCUAGUGAAACUCAUUCACUUUGUUUUAGCUCCUGCCUUCUUACAACUAUUACUUAAAGUUUAUAUUCAAUGUAUAUAAUAAUAUACAUUGCCUGGGAAGGAGCGCUUCUUGAGUUGUAUUUUGUGCUACAUGUAAUUGACUGCAUUUCAAAUGCCGUACAAAAAUUUUGUGUGUUUACCUACAAAUAAUCAAGACUGUAAAGAAGUCCAUCCCUUCCAGAGAUGACGUGGGAAGGGAGGAGGAUGCAGUGAUCAGGAACCCCCAGAGGAUGGAUGGAUGGUAAUGCCUUCCAUGACUUGCAGAUGGUCACUUUCCAAAUCAUAAUGGCCGGGUGUUUAUUUCACAUCUGUAUGCAUGAGGCUGUUCCAAACACUAUUGAA